rnacentral:rRNA from 1 species
UACGUAGGGGGCAAGCGUUGUCCGGAAUUAUUGGGCGUAAAGGGCGCGUAGGCGGCUUGGCAAGUGGAUGGUGAAAUCCCUCGGCUUAACCGAGGAACUGCCGUCCAAACUGCUUUGCUUGAGACCGGGAGAGGUGAGUGGAAUUCCCAGUGUAGCGGUGAAAUGCGUAGAUAUUGGGAGGAACACCAGUGGCGAAGGCGGCUCACUGGACCGGUACUGACGCUGAGGCGCGAAAGCGUGGGGAGCAAACGGG